rnacentral:rRNA from 1 species
UCCUGGCUCAGGAUGAACGCUGGCGGCGUGCUUUAAACAUGCAAGUCGAGGGGCAUCACAGUGUAGCAAUACGACGGGUGGCGACCGGCGCACGGGUGCGUAACACGUAUCCAAUCUGCCCGUUACUCGGGGGAUAGCCUUCUGAAAGGAAGAUUAAUACCCGAUGGCAUGUAUUUCCGGCAUCGGAGAUACAUUAAAGAUUUAUCGGUAACGGAUGAGGAUGCGUACGAUUAGCUUGUUGGCGGGGUAACGGCCCACCAAGGCGACGAUCGUUAGGGGUUCUGAGAGGAAGGUCCCCCACACUGGAACUGAGACACGGUCCAGACUCCUACGGGAGGCAGCAGUGAGGAAUAUUGGUCAAUGGUCGGAAGACUGAACCAGCCAAGUAGCGUGAAGGAUGACUGCCCUACGGGUUGUAAACUUCUUUUGUUUGGGAAUAAAAGACGCUACGUGUAGCGUUCUGCAUGUACCUUACGAAUAAGCAUCGGCUAAUUCCGUG